rnacentral:rRNA from 1 species
GAUGAACGCUGGCGGCGCGCCUAACACAUGCAAGUCGAACGAUUAAAGCACCUUCGGGUGUGUAUAAAGUGGCGAACGGCUGAGUAACACGUGGGCAACCUGCCCCUUUCAUUGGGAUAGCCACGGGAAACCGUGGAUAAUACCGAAUACUUCGAGACUUCCGCAUGGAAGACUCGAGAAAGCUCCGGCGGAGAGGGAUGGGCCCGCGGCCUGUUAGCUUGUUGGUGGGGUAACGGCCUACCAAGGCAAUGAUGGGUAGCUGGGUUGAGAGACCGACCAGCCAAAUUGGGACUGAGACACGGCCCAGACUCCUACGGGAGGCAGCAGUGGGGAAUCUUGCACAAUGGGCGAAAGCCUGAUGCAGCGACGCCGCGUGCGGGAUGAAGGCCUUCGGGUUGUAAACCGCUUUCAGCAGGGACGAGGCGAAAGUGACGGUACCUGCAGAAGAAGCCCCGGCUAACUACGUG